CUCGAUCGUGUCUCUUGCUUAUAAUAACUGAACAAUGGUAACGAUCAUGCAUGCUAUAUCUUUCUUUCACUAAUAAUCAAAUUAUUUUUACAUCACCAACGACGAAAAGCAAGCAAAGCAUCACUACGUAGACGAGACGGCAUGGCAUGCAUCAUCAAACGGCAAACAAACACAUAAAGCUUAGCGGAGGACACGCGCGCGCGCAUCCGGGAACUGCAUGAAAUGAAAACACAUGCACAACACGUGCAUGCAUAUAUGGACUUAUUUAGCCACCGACGAGACGACUAGCAGCUGGGGCGGCAGCCUAGCCUAGUAGUGGCAGGCGUAGUUGGCCUUCUUCAACAUGGCGGCCUGCGCGGCGGCGGCGAACUCGGAGGUGAGCCCGACGGCGACGCACUCCUUGACCUGGUAGGCGGUGUAGGCGAACUUCUCCUUCUUGGCGGCGAUGGCGUUGAUGUAGGCGGCGGCGCCCUCGCGCAGCAGGUCGCCGUAGCAGUCGGUCCGGGUGUUGCACAGCGCGUCCUGCAGGGUGUGGAUCUUGCUGCCGAAGAAGGCGUGGCACACCUCGCCGAGGG
rnacentral:lncRNA from 1 species